UAUUUAUGCUAACUGUGCAGUGAAGUGAAGUAGAGUAAUUUUAUGAUAGUUUUUACUGACAGUAAUAUAUAUUCCACUAUCAUAAUCUGCUGAUGAGUAAAAGCAGGGCUAUUGCUUAUAACACAGUUGCGUGAAGCAGAGAACGACAAGGACAGUGAAGCAAGAAAUGAUUGUGGAAGAAAAAAAUAAUAUGCAUAAGAGAAACUUAAAUGAUUACAAGGAGAGGGUCUUGAGCUCCUUGAGGUAAAGAGGUCUGAUAAGCUCGAAGUCCAGCCUCGCGAGCUCCAGCACCACGCCGUCGUGCGCCUCCUCCCGCUCGUACUCGGUGAUGUAGCGCAUCGUCUCCAGCAGCUUGGGCGCCCGUGCGAGAGGGAUGUCGAGGGCGCGGGAGACCUGCUCGGCCAUCGGCGAUCCCAGCUUACCUUGCAAGGACUUGACGCUCCGUCUCGAGAACGCGAUGGCGUCGUCGAGCGCCGCUUCUUCGCCGGGGCAUGGCGAGGUGCGCUGCGUUGUAGAGGCUUAGCAGGCCCCUUGCGUCCGUGCUCAGAGAGAUUGAAUUAUACUCCGAGUUACCUGCAGAUACCAAGAAACCAUGCUGGCGAAGUAGACGAAACCUAAGGGAUUCAAGGUGGAGCAAGUCAGCAGCAGCAACGCUGUCGGCGUGCUCCUUAUGGUGCAAUAAUAAUACAUGCUGUAACGCUACGGUGAUCUCGUCGCGGAAGUGGUCGUCUAUGUGGAGGCGUUCGAGCACGUCCACUAGCAUCACCGUGUAGGCCAUACUCGUGGCCUUCGACAGCUUGCAGCGCACCUGCCUCUUUAGCUGAUCCACAUGUUCCCUCAUCCACUUCUCUGACAUCUGAAAACAUAUGCACGAGCAAUUAAAUCCAAGAGAGCCAUAGUUAAAGGGGAAUUACAUCCAUGCGUAAAGUCUCAUAUUCAAAUUCAUAUUAUACAGAGACAAAAAAACAAAAUUAUAUACUCUCAAAACUAUCAUAAUUUUUAUCAUGUUUGUUAUGGCUAAAAUAUAAUGAAUUUGAGGUUAAGACUUUA